rnacentral:rRNA from 1 species
UAACGCGUGGGAAUCUGCCCAUCAGUGGGGAAUAACGACGGGAAACUGUCGCUAAUACCGCAUACGCCCUUAGGGAGAAAGAUUUAUCGCUGAUAGAGGAGCCCGCGUACGAUUAGCUAGUUGGUGAGGUAAUGGCUCACCAAGGCUACGAUCUUAGGCUGGUCUGAGAGGAUGAUCAGCCACACUGGGACUGAGACACGGCCCAGACUCCUACGGGAGGCAGCAGUGGGGUUUAUUGGACAAUGGGGGAAACCCUGAUCCAGCAAUGCCGCGUGAGUGAUGAAGGCCUUAGGGUUGU